rnacentral:rRNA from 1 species
UACGAAGGGGGCUAGCGUUGCUCGGAAUUACUGGGCGUAAAGCGCACGUAGGCGGCUUUUUAAGUCGGAGGUGAAAUCCUGGAGCUCAACUCCAGAACUGCCUUCGAUACUGGAAAGCUCGAGUCCGGGAGAGGUGAGUGGAACUGCGAGUGUAGAGGUGAAAUUCGUAGAUAUUGGGAAGAACACCGGUGGCGAAGGCGGCUCACUGGCUCGUAACUGACGCUCAUGCACGACAGCGUGGGGAUCAAACAGG